rnacentral:rRNA from 1 species
CGCAGGCGGUUUAAUAAGUCUGAAGUUAAAGGCAGUGGCUUAACCAUUGUUCGCUUUGGAAACUGUUAAACUUGAGUGCAGAAGGGGAGAGUGGAAUUCCAUGUGUAGCGGUGAAAUGCGUAGAUAUAUGGAGGAACACCGGUGGCGAAAGCGGCUCUCUGGUCUGUAACUGACGCUGAGGCUCGAAAGCGUGGGGAGCAAACAGGAUUAGAUACCCAGGUAGUCCACGCCGUAAACGAUGAGUGCUAGGUGUUAGGCCCUUUCCGGGGCUUAGUGCCGCAGCUAACGCAUUAAGCACUCCGCCUGGGGAGUACGACCGCAAGGUUGAAACUCAAAGGAAUUGACGGGGGCCCGCACAAGCGGUGGAGCAUGUGGUUUAAUUCGAAGCAACGCGAAGAACCUUACCAGGUCUUGACAUCCCAGUGACCGCUCUAGAGAUAGAGUUUUUCUUCGGAACACUGGUGACAGGUGGUGCAUGGUUGUCGUCAGCUCGUGUCGUGAGAUGUUGGGUUAAGUCCCGCAACGAGCGCAACCCUUAUUGUUAGUUGCCAUCAUUCAGUUGGGCACUCUAGCGAGACUGCCGGUAAUAAACCGGAGGAAGGUGGGGAUGACGUCAAAUCAUCAUGCCCCUUAUGACCUGGGCUACACACGUGCUACAAUGGUUGGUACAACGAGUCGCAAGUCGGUGACGGCAAGCAAAUCUCUUAAAGCCAAUCUCAGUUCGGAUUGUAGGCUGCAACUCGCCUACAUGAAGUCGGAAUCGCU